UGGGCCAAAUUAUUUCUCUGCUGGGCCGAGUUUUAUUUUAAUGUGUUGGGCUGUGUUCUUUUAUUUGCCAGGCCUGACUUUUAUUAAAUAUUUGGACUGCAGAUUUUAAAAAGGGAUUGGGCCUUAACUAUUAGAAUUUUAUUAAAAUGAGCUACACUACUUGUUUAAUUGGACUAUCAUUAGUUUGAUUAAUUGUUUAAAGGUAAUAUGCAUAAUAAUAUUAUAUUAUUAUUAUUUGUAUAUUUUAAGUAAUUUCAUAUAUAUGAUUAAAGUAUGAAAUGAGCUAUGCAUUUGCAUCAUGAUUUAAAUUGGUUUUCAUUAAAUCCAAUUAUUAAAGAAAGACGAGUAAGAAUAUUGUUGGUGUUCUUAACUCAAGAGAAAUGUUUUCAAUUAUUUAUUCAUUAAAUUUUGAAAACCCGGCUAAGUGAAUCAUAGAAUAUUAAGCACUACACCAUGACUUAAGAUUAGAUUCAAGGAGACCUAUUAAGAAUAGAAUUUCUUGUAGGCUUUAUGAACCAAGGGGAUUAGCGCUGCUUUCCCAAGACGAGAUUAUGUGAUUAUGAUCUUCAGGCUUUGCCUAUCCAGGUUGGCUGGCCGGUGCUGACGGGACGGAGCUGAGGCUAGAGAUAAAUUCCUAUGUUAGACUUCCGCUGUAGCAAUUACUCAUAUCAGUCUUUUGUUUUCCCAACUUAAGAUCUUCAUGUGAAAUUUCAAAUGAUAUACCUGACCGAGCUUAGACUCUUCACUACUAAAUUUAUGCCAAUGAAUGUUGGUUGUCAGAAGCAUGAAACAAAACUUGUGAUCCAAAGGGGCCUAGCCCGACUCGUUAUCUUAUUAUUCGGGUUUUAAUAAGGUUGUUCCUUGUUUAUUUCUAUGAA